UCAAGCAGCUGUCCAAGCCACCCAAGGAGAAGAGGGAGUCGUGGACAGCUGGUCCCCCACUAGCUUGGUGGUGACAGGCCCUGCCAGCCCGGCUAAGGAAGAGUUAAUCGGCAAUCAGCUUUGGCCGAUAGUUCAGACUCCGAAGUUCAGUCCCAGUCCGAGCCACCCCGGAGGGAUUGUAAAUCUCAGGGCAGUAUUUAACAAAACAAAAGCAACCUGGAAUUACAUGCAGGUUCGGUUUUCUACAGUACAUAUUUACUUAAUCCCCAAGGGCUGGCUKGAGACGGCCUGGCCUGCCGGCCUCAAAUCCCUCUCUCGAUUGCUCUUGUCACUGGGUCCCGCAGCUUGGCGGGCAGCACCAGUCCGACGGCUGCUUUCGCCACUAGAUAGAUCAUCUGCAGAGGGAACACCACCAAG